rnacentral:rRNA from 1 species
CCUACGGGUGGCAGCAGUGAGGAAUAUUGGUCAAUGGGCGCGAGCCUGAACCAGCCAAGUAGCGUGAAGGAUGACUGCCCUACGGGUUGUAAACUUCUUUUAUAAAGGAGUAAAGUGAGGCACGUGUGCCUUUUUGUAUGUACUUUAUGAAUAAGGAUCGGCUAACUCCGUGCCAGCAGCCGCGGUAAUACGGAGGAUCCGAGCGUUAUCCGGAUUUAUUGGGGUUAAGGGGUGCGCAGGCGGAAGAUCAAGUCAGCGUGAAAAUUGAGAGGCCAAACCUCGUAGAGCCGUUGAUACUGGUUAUCUUGAGUGAGCGAGAGGUAUGCGGAAUGCGUGGUGUAGCGGUGAAAUGCAUAGAGAUCACGCAGAACUCCGAUUGCGAAGGCAGCAUACCGGCGCUCAACUGACGCUGAUGCACGAAAGUGUGGGUAGCGAACAGGAUUAGAUACCCGAGUAGUC